CAGAUGGGAUGACUGGCUACUGUAAUAAUACUACAGCAGCUCCAUAAUGCAUGAAAUCCUAAAAAGUAUGUAAUAUUAUAAGUAUCUUUUCAAUACAGGUUUCAUUGCUAUUAUUCAUCAGCUUCCGUUUAGAUUACCUGUUCCGAUUUAAUAACCUUUGAUAAAUUUGAAAAAUUUGUCUUUCAAACAGAGCCUGUUAGUAUUAAUGAAGAAAAUGAGGGAUUUGAACAUAACACACAAGUUAGAAAUCAAGGAAUUAUAGCUUUGAGUUACCGUGACUGGGAGGAGAUUGUGAAGACCUUUGAGAUUUCAGAGCCUGUGAUUACUCCAAGUCAGAGGCAGCAGAAGCUAAGUGCUUGAUGCUAGCUGAAGGACUCAAAUGGAUAGUGAAGUCCAAAACGGAAAGCAGCAUGUAUUGUACAUAUUGUAUGAUUCAACAUUUUUAAAGGCCGAUUGUUUUUAGUAAAAUGUAGCUUUUGAUAGUUAAUAAAUUUGUCAUGGUUGUCUUUGAUUAAAGGAAACUCACCGCCAUAUUCACAAA
rnacentral:sRNA from 1 species